GACGAACGCUGGCGGCGUGCUUAACACAUGCAAGUCGAACGGAAAGGCCCUGCUUUUGUGGGGUGCUCGAGUGGCGAACGGGUGAGUAACACGUGAGUAACCUGCCCUUGACUUUGGGAUAACUUCAGGAAACUGGGGCUAAUACCGGAUAGGAGCUCCUGCUGCAUGGUGGGGGUUGGAAAGUUUCGGCGGUGGGGGAUGGACUCGCGGCUUAUCAGCUUGUUGGUGGGGUAGUGGCUUACCAAGGCUUUGACGGGUAGCCGGCCUGAGAGGGUGACCGGCGACCUUGGGACUGAGAUACGGCCCAGACGCCUACGGGAGGCAGCAGUGGGGAAUAUGGCACAAUGGGCGGAAGCCUGAUGCAGCAACGCCGCGUGCGGGAUGACGGCCUUCGGGGUGUAAACCGCUUUCGCCUGUGACGAAGCGUGAGUGACGGUAAUGGGUAAAGAAGCACCGGCUAACUACGUG
rnacentral:rRNA from 1 species